AACGAACGCUGGCGGCAGGCUUAACACAUGCAAGUCGAGCGCCCCGCAAGGGGAGCGGCAGACGGGUGAGUAACGCGUGGGAAUCUACCCAUCUCUACGGAAUAACGCAUGGAAACGUGUGCUAAUAACGUAUACGUCCUUUGGGCGAAAGAUUUAUCGGAGAUGGAUGAGCCCGCGUUGGAUUAGCUAGUUGGUGGGGUAAAGGCCUACCAAGGCGACGAUCCAUAGCUGGUCUGAGAGGAUGAUCAGCCACACGGGGACUGAGACACGGCCCAGACUCCUACGGGAGGCAGCAGUGGGGAAUAUUGGACAAUGGGCGCAAGCCUGAUCCAGCCAUGCCGCGUGAGUGAUGAAGGCCCUAGGGUUGUAAAGCUCUUUCACCGGUGAAGAUAAUGACGGUAACCGGAGAAGAAGCCCCGGCUAACUUCGUGCCAGCCGCCGCUGUAAUAC
rnacentral:rRNA from 1 species